GUAGGUGGCAAGCGUUGUCCGGAAUUAUUGGGCGUAAAGCGCGCGCAGGCGGUCCUUUAAGUCUGAUGUGAAAGCCCACGGCUCAACCGUGGAGGGUCAUUGGAAACUGGGGGACUUGAGUACAGAAGAGGAAAGCGGAAUUCCAAGUGUAGCGGUGAAAUGCGUAGAGACUUGGAGGAACACCAGUGGCGAAGGCGGCUUUCUGGUCUGUAACUGACGCUGAGGCGCGAAAGCGUGGGGAGCAAACAGGGAUUAGAUACCCUGGUAGUCCACGCCGUAAACGAUGAGUGCUAAGUGUUAGGGGGUUUCCCGCCCCCCUUAGUGCUGCAGCUAACGCAUUAAGCACUCCGCCUGGGGAGUACGGCCGCAAGGCUG
rnacentral:rRNA from 1 species